GGCAUCCAGUGCCUUGUACUUAAUGAAAGUUUGCAACACUCUGAGCAACUGUUCUCAGUUCUUCUGCCUUAUUUCUGGCCUCCGUUGCAACUGUUUUGACCUAGUGAAGGCCUAGACUUUCUCAGACAGAUUUCUUUUAACUCUUCUGCCCUGACUCCAGUCUUCACUGGGAUGCUGCCUUGCACUUAGGGAAGGUUCACAUGCCUCAAGGAUCUCUCUCUCUCAGAUUUCUUGACUUUCCCUCAGUCUUCAGUAUAGUCCUCCUCUGUGCCUGGUGAAGACCUGUGGUAAAGUGCUGGCAGAGAGGAAGCUAAAUCACGUAAAAAUUAAGAAACAGCUCAGCGUUUCACAGCUAAGCUGCCGGCUUCCCCUUGAAGGAAUAGGAGUAGACCUGCUGAACUAUCACAUGAGAGAAGAGGCCCAAAAGCUUGCACACUACAGUCAAGCUGGCCCUUAAAGAGAUGGACCUAGAAGAUGCUGAGCCAGAUGUACUCAAUUACUUCUCCAAAAUUCAUCAAUUAGAACUGCUUCUUGCUGCCGCCAUAUGAAGAAGGACGUGUUCGCUUCCCCUUCCUCCAUGAUUGUAAGUUUCCUGAGACCUCGCCAGCCAUGCUGAACUGAAUACAACAUGUUUAAGACCACAGAACAUCUGCAUAGGCUGUAAAUUUCGUUGAAUGAUGGAUGCAAAGAUGGAAGACAGAUGGAUAGAGGAAAAGACAGAAUCAGAUACUGGAUGAGUUAGUACUGCUGCCUGUGCUUCAGAGCUGUCUUAUUACCACAAGGCCGGCAAGCAUCAAUGUCCCCACAUCCCCCUCUGCCUCCCCCUGAAAUGUACCGAUUUAUAUGAAAAUUAAGAUUACAAAUUAAAGCCUGGCUAUCCUGGAGUUUUCCAGUUCAUCAGCCAUCCAAUAAAAAUGAUGUCAAGCCUGUAUGCAUAAUUCCCGGAAGAUUACUUUCGUCCUUACAGCUAAGCCCUGUCCCUGAUAUGAAAGAUCUCUAUCCACUUUUAUUGAAAUAAAGAACUAACAUCAUAAUCCCAAUAUUGAGGUAUAAUCUUCAUUAUCUCCUGACCCUCUUGAGGUUCCCCCAAUCUAUAUUACUUCAGAUUUGGUUUAUGUGUAAUCCUUAUGUAUUUACUUUUAUUGAGAUAGGAUUAAAAACUAAAAAAAAAGCUUCAAAAAA
rnacentral:lncRNA from 1 species